AGCUAGUUGGUAGGGUAACGGCCUACCAAGGCGAUGACGGGUAGCUGGUCUGAGAGGACGAUCAGCCACAAUGGCACUGAAACACGGGCCAUACUCCUACGGGAGGCAGCAGUGAGGAAUAUUGCACAAUGGGCGCAAGCCGUGAUGCAGCAACGCCGCGUGGACGAUGAAGGCCUUCGGGUUGUAAAGUCCUUUUGAGAGGGAAGAGGAAGGACGGUACCUCUUGAAAAAGUCUCGGCUAACUACGUGCCAGCAGCCGCGGUAACACGUAGGAGGCAAGCGUUAUCCGGAUUUAUUGGGCGUAAAGCGCGCGCAGGUGGUUGGGUAAGUCGGAUGUGAAAGCCCCAGACUUAACCUGGGGAGGUCAUUCGAUACUGCUUGACUUGAGAGGGGGAGAGGGAAGCGGAAUUCCCGGUGUAGUGGUGAAAUGCGUAGAUAUCGGGAGGAACUCCAGUGGCGAAGGCGGCUUCCUGGCCCAUUUCUGACACUAAGGCGCGAAAGCGUGGGGAGCGAACGGAAUUAGAUACUCCGGUAGUCCACGCUGUAAACGAUGGGUACUGGGUGUGGGGAGUAUUGACCCUCUCUGUGCCGAAGCUAACGCGUUAAGUACCCCGCCUGCAUACUACGGCCGCAAGGCUAAAACGCAAAGGAAUUGACGGGUCUCCGCACAAGCAGCGGACCGUGUGGUUUAAUUCGAUGGUACACGAAGAACCUUACCUGGGUUUGACAUGCUGGUAGUAAUGAAGCGAAAGCAGAAUGAUCCUUCGGGAGGCCAGCACAGGUGCUGCAUGGCUGUCGUCAGCUCGUGCCGUGAGGUGUUGGGUUAAGUCCUGUAACGAGCGCAACCCUUACUGCUAGUUACAAGUGUCUAGCGGGACUGCCAGUGAUAAGCUGGAGGAAGGUGGGGAUGAUGUCAAGUCAGCAUGGCCUUUAUAUCCAGGGCUACACACACGCUACAAUGGCCGGUACAAUGGGUCGCUAAGCCGUGAGGCGGAGCUAAUCCUCAAAGCCGGUCUCAGUUCGGAUUGCAGGCUGCAACUCGCCUGCAUGAAGUUGGAGUUGCUAGUAACCGCGCGUCAGCUAUAGUGCGGUGAAUACGUCCCCGGAGAUUGUACACACCGCCCGUCACGUCAUGGGAGUUGGUAACACCCGAAGUCAGUGAGCUAACCGCAAGGGGGCAGCUGUCGAAGGUGGGACCGGCGACUGGGACGAAGUCGUAACAAGGUAGCCGUAGCGGAAGCUGCGGCUG
rnacentral:rRNA from 1 species